UACAGAGGUCUCAAGCGUUGUUCGGAUUUAUUGGGCGUAAAGGGUGCGUAGGUGGCGGGGUUAGUCUGGUGUGAAAUCUCGGAGCUCAACUCCGAAACUGCACUGGAUACUGCCUUGCUUGAGUACUGGAGAGGAGAUUGGAAUUUACGGUGUAGCAGUGAAAUGCGUAGAUAUCGUGAGGAAGACCAGUGGCGAAGGCAGAUCUCUGGACAGUUACUGACGCUGAGGCACGAAGGCCAGGGGAGCAAACAGG
rnacentral:rRNA from 1 species